rnacentral:misc_RNA from 1 species
AACGCACAUUGCGCCCUUUGGUAUUCCGAAGGGCAUGCCUGUUCGAGCGUCAUUAUCAACCCUCAAGCUUAGCUUGUUGUUGGAACUGUUGAGUAAAUCAACAAUCCCAAAGACAAUGGCGGUAUCUUUUGACCCUUGAUGCAACGAGCUUUUAAUAGCACGCAUCUAAAGAGGUCGAUUGAUACUAGACUUUUUUUACUUUUCUAAGGUUGACCUCGGAUCAGGUAGGAAUACCCGCUGAACUUAA